rnacentral:rRNA from 1 species
UACGGGGGGGGCAAGCGUUGUUCGGAAUUACUGGGCGUAAAGGGCUCGUAGGCGGCCAACUAAGUCGGAUGUGAAAUCCCCAGGCUUAACCUGGGAAUUGCAUCCGAUACUGGAUGGCUUGAAUCCGGGAGAGGGAUGCGGAAUUCCAGGUGUAGCGGUGAAAUGCGUAGAUAUCUGGAGGAACACCGGUGGCGAAGGCGGCAUUCUGGACCGACAUUGACGCUGAGGAGCGAAAGCCAGGGGAGCAAACGGG